rnacentral:rRNA from 1 species
CUGGAUAACCGUGGUAAUUCUAGAGCUAAUACAUGCUAAAAACCUCGACUUCGGAAGGGGUGUAUUUAUUAGAUAAAAAACCAAUGCCCUUCGGGGCUCCUUGGUGAAUCAUAAUAACUUAACGAAUCGCAUGGCCUUGCGCCGGCGAUGGUUCAUUCAAAUUUCUGCCCUAUCAACUUUCGAUGGUAAGAUAGAGGCUUACCAUGGUCUUAACGGGUAACGGGGAAUUAGGGUUCUAUUCCGGAGAGGGAGCCUGAGAAACGGCUACCACAUCCAAGGAAGGCAGCAGGCGCGCAAAUUACCCAAUCCCGACACGGGGAGGUAGUGACAAUAAAUACUGAUACGGGGCUCUUUUGGGUCUCGUAAUUGGAAUGAGUACAAUCUAAAUCCCUUAACGAGGAACAAUUGGAGGGCAAGUCUGGUGCCAGCAGCCGCGGUAAUUCCAGCUCCAAUAGCGUAUAUUAAAGUUGUUGCCGUUAAAAAGCUCGUAGUUGAACCUUGGGCCUGGCUGACCUGUCCUCCUAAUCGAGCGCACGGGUUCGGUCGGGCCUUUCCUUCUAGGGAACCCCAUGCCCUUCACUGGGUGUGGUGGGGAACUAGGACUUUUACCUUGAAAAAAUUAGAGUGUUCAAAGCAGGCCUUUGCUCGAAUACAUUAGCAUGGA